UACGAAGGGGGCUAGCGUUGUUCGGAAUUACUGGGCGUAAAGCGCACGUAGGCGGCUUUUUAAGUCAGAGGUGAAAUCCUGGAGCUCAACUCCAGAACUGCCUUUGAUACUGGAGAGCUUGAGUCCGGGAGAGGUGAGUGGAACUGCGAGUGUAGAGGUGAAAUUCGUAGAUAUUCGCAAGAACACCAGUGGCGAAGGCGGCUCACUGGCCCGGUACUGACGCUGAGGUGCGAAAGCGUGGGGAGCGAACAGG
rnacentral:rRNA from 1 species